UUAUAAGGCAUUUGUGAGUAAGUUAUAGAAUUGCAAGAUUCUGAAUUAUCAUUCAAUAACACUAAAAAAAACUCAUAUUUUUGAAGAAAAAGAAAAAUUGUCUGGUACUGAUGAUCCCAGCUAAUGGUGAUCUUUCUACAUUCAAAGUUUCUUGAAGUUCAGUUAAGUAAUUUAAGAGAAGCUGUAAUGAAAAGCUGAUACAUGAUGAUUUUCAGUAAAUU
rnacentral:lncRNA from 1 species